GUGGGGAAUAUUGGACAAUGGGCGAAAGCCUGAUCCAGCCAUGCCGCGUGUGUGAAGAAGGUCUUCGGAUUGUAAAGCACUUUAAGUUGGGAGGAAGGGCAGUAAGUUAAUACCUUGCUGUUUUGAGGUUACCGACAGAAUAAGCACCGGCUAACUUCGUGCCAGCAGCCGCGGUAAUACGAAGGGUGCAAGCGUUAAUCGGAAUUACUGGGCGUAAAGCGCGCGGAGGUGGUUUUGUAAGUUGGAGGUGAAAUCCCCGGGCUCAACCUGGGAACUGCCUCCACAACUGCAUGACUAGAGUACGGUAGAGGGUAGUGGAAUUUCCUGUGUAGCGGUGAAAUGCGUAGAUAUAGGAAGGAACACCAGUGGCGCAGGCGACUACCUGGACUGAUACUGACACUGAGGUGCGAAAGCGUGGGGAGCAAACAGGAUUAGAACCCCUUGUAGUCC
rnacentral:rRNA from 1 species